UACGUAGGGACCGAGCGUUGUCCGGAAUCAUUGGGCGUAAAGAGCGUGUAGGCGGCCUUUUAAGUCCUGCGUGAAAUCCUGCGGCUCAACCGCAGACGGUCGUGGGAAACUGGAAGGCUAGAGUGCGGGAGAGGUGAGUGGAAUUCCCAGUGUAGAGGUGAAAUUCGUAGAUAUUGGGAAGAACACCGGUGGCGAAGGCGGCUCACUGGCUCAUAUCUGACGCUCAGGCGCGACAGCGUGGGGAGUCAAACAGG
rnacentral:rRNA from 1 species